UGGGGAAUCUUCCGCAAUGGGCGAAAGCCUGACGGAGCAACGCCGCGUGAGUGAAGACGGCCUUCGGGUUGUAAAGCUCUGUUAUACGGGACGAAUAGUCUUGUGGUUAAUACCCAUGAGAAGUGACGGUACCGUAAGAGAAAGCCACGGCUAACUACGUGCCAGCAGCCGCGGUAAUACGUAGGUGGCAAGCGUUGUCCGGAAUUAUUGGGCGUAAAGGGCGCGCAGGCGGCUUCUUAAGUCUGUCUUAAAAGUGCGGGGCUUAACCCCGUGAUGGGAUGGAAACUGGGAAGCUCAGAGUAUCGGAGAGGAAAGCGGAAUUCCUAGUGUAGCGGUGAAAUGCGUAGAUAUUAGGAGGAACACCAGUGGCGAAAGCGGCUUUCUGGACGAAAACUGACGCUGAGGCGCGAAAGCCAGGGGAGCGAAAAUAGAUACCCCGGUAGUCCUGGCCGUAAACGAUGGGUACUAGGUGUAGGAGGUAUCGACCCCUUCUGUGCCGGAGUUAACGCAAUAAGUACCCCGCCUGGGGAGUACGGCCGCAAGGUUG
rnacentral:rRNA from 1 species